rnacentral:rRNA from 1 species
UGGGGAAUAUUGGACAAUGGGCGAAAGCCUGAUCCAGCCAUGCCGCGUGUGUGAAGAAGGUCUUCGGAUUGUAAAGCACUUUAAGUUGGGAGGAAGGGCAGUAAAUUAAUACUUUGCUGUUUUGACGUUACCGACAGAAUAAGCACCGGCUAACUCUGUGCCAGCAGCCGCGGUAAUACAGAGGGUGCAAGCGUUAAUCGGAAUUACUGGGCGUAAAGCGCGCGUAGGUGGUUCGUUAAGUUGGAUGUGAAAUCCCCGGGCUCAACCUGGGAACUGCAUUCAAACUGACGAGCUAGAGUAUGGUAGAGGGUGGUGGAAUUUCCUGUGUAGCGGUGAAAUGCGUAGAUAUAGGAAGGAACACCAGUGGCGAAGGCGACCACCUGGACUGAUACUGACACUGAGGUGCGAAAGCGUGGGGAGCAAAACAGGAUUAGAUACCCUGGUAGUCCACGCCGUAAACGAUGUCAACUAGCCGUUGGGAGCCUUGAGCUCUUAGUGGCGCAGCUAACGCAUUAAGUUGACCGCCUGGGGAGUACGGCCGCAAGGUUAAAAGC